ensembl:misc_RNA Metazoa_SRP Metazoan signal recognition particle RNA
GCUGGGUGCGGUGACGCAUGCCUGUAGACCCAGCUACUCGGGAGGCUGAGGCUGGAGGAUGGCUUGAGCCCAGGAGUUCUGGGCGGUAGUGUGCUAUGACGAUUGGGUGUCCGUGCUAAGUUCAGCAUCAAUAUGGUGACCUCCCGGGAGCAAGGAACCACCAGGUUGCCUAAGGAGGGGUGAACCGGCCCAGGCUGAAGCAGAGCAGGUCAAAACUCCCGUGCUGAUCAGUAGUGGGAUCGUGCCUGUGAAUAGCCACUGCACUCCAGCCUGGGCAACAUAGAGACUCCGUCUCAA